rnacentral:tRNA from 17 species
UGAUCCAUAGCUCAAUUCGGCAGAGCGCCCGACUGUUAAUCGGGUGGUUGUAGGUUCAAGUCCUACUGGGUCAGC